rnacentral:pre_miRNA from 1 species
AGUACAAUUGCUGGGUCAUAUGGCAGUUACAUAUUUAAUUUUUUGAGAAACUACCAAAGUGUUUUCCAGAGUGGACUGGGCCAUUUUAUAUUUCCACCAGCAAU